rnacentral:rRNA from 13 species
GCUUACGGCCACACCGGCCUGAGUACGCCUGAUCUCGUCCGAUCUCGGAAGCUAAGCAGAGUCGGGCCUGGUUAGUACUUGGAUGGGAGACAUCCUGGCAAUACCAGGUGCUGUAAGCU